rnacentral:rRNA from 1 species
GGUUGCGAUCAUACCAUCACUAAUGCACCGGAUCCCAUCAGAACUCCGCAGUUAAGCGUGCUUGGGCGAGAGUAGUAUUAGGAUGGGUGACCCCCUGGGAAGUCCUCGUGUUGCAACCCC